GUGAAAUACAGUAUAUGCUGCAUGUGGCCAUGUAAAUGAAUGUAUCAACUACUGCAACAUCCUGUUGGUGCUCCAGCCUUCCCACCUGAGCCAAGGAACUCGCAAUACACCGCUAUGGUGAUUUUGUCCCUGUUGCUCAAAGCACAGCCAUAAGAUGCCCAGGGAAAGGCAAGUUGCUUGAACCAUGGGGUGGAAGUGUUUUGUGGAAACAGCACCCAGCAGGAGGGCUGGGGCAGCUGCCAGCAGCCCUGAGAGGGGUUCACUCAGCUGUGUGGCCUGACCCAGGUAAUGAAGCACUUUGGAGACGAGGAGUAUGCGCUCUGCAAGACAAGAGAAAGAGCUGUGUUCCAGUGGCCUGCCACGCCAGGAGUUGCACAGCUUUUGGACACAUGCUGGCUUAGUGAAGCCUGCCAGGGAGAUGGGCUGUGCAAAGCCUUCUGAUGGCCUGGUGGAGGAUAACAGCUACAGGAGAGGAGCAGUGCCUGGACAGAAAGCUGAGUUGCUGCAUCUGGCCUCAGCCAGGCCCAGAGCCCCCGGAGCCCACAGGGGCCUUCGUUGCUCAAAUGGGAUUGUGAACAAGGCCUGGAGUGCCAGAGGAGUGACUGCACUGAGGAGGCUGACAGGUUUUCAGGUUUCCUUCUCUGACCUGCUGCUGUGUCCUGUGACUGUAACAACAGAUAGAAAGGUCUCAAACCAUUUCAUGGGGCUGGAGGGGGCAGUCUGGCCAAGAAAAACAUACAUUUCUUCCCACAGCAGAAACCGCCAGCCUCUGAGAUGGGCUCUUCUGGCUCACUCUGGUGCUGUUCUUCAAGGCAAGUGUUACAUCUGCUCUGUGCCACCAGCAUGUUUGCAGGGAGCUGGGGCAGCUGUGGCCUCUGGGAAGAGAGGGCACCCAUCCUCAGCGUGCAGCAGAGAGCAGUACAACAGUAUGUGAGUCAGAACCUACAAGUCCAUCAUACCAGGCACACUGCAAACUGCCCUAAGUGUCUCAUAGUAGAUUUUGUUCAGAUCAAGCUCAGAUAAUUCAGUCAUAAGGAGUCUUCCAUGCCCACCGUUCUAGGAUUUUCUGGCAUUUGACCCUCUUUAGUUAGUUUAUUUGAAAGGAAAAUACUGCUUAAAAACUAAAAACUGGAAACUUUUGACAAUCCCAGCAAUUUUCUCACUUUUUGACAAACUGCUCAAAUUGACUAAAUUCUCAAAUAUUUCUGUUGUCCUAAACAAUAUAUAUAUACACAUAUUUAUAUAUAUUUUUUCUGGAAGAUGAGCUAUAAAAAUCAUUUGCUAUUCUACUUUUCAAAAUAUUUCGCAUUUGUAUAAAUUCAGUUAAUAACUACACAGCAUUAAGGGAUAUGAUGUACUGCUCCCCAUUGAAAAUGGACACAGGUUAUCAUGUAACCCAGUUCAGAUCUUGUGCAUAUUGUAUGGCUGAGCACAGUGCUAUAGCAAGGAAAAUGAGUUUCUAUCCUGUUUACUGUUUGUGGCAUGGGACCAAGUUGUUUCUCUGAACUGAAGAACACUCCAGCAAACACUGUUUCUCAGUUUCAGAAUUUGACUAAACCCUAAUUCUGUUGCCAUCAAGAUUUAAACAAAUGGUGUAGAGAUACCUAAGGGAGCAAGUGAUUUUAUGUCUGCUAUAAGACAGUAUUAAAGAGUCAAAAUAGUCCAUUAGAAGCAGAUGUACCUGUACCUCCUUCUGGCCAGCUAUGAGUUCCACCUUUGAAGAACUAUUUCUGUUGUUUUUGAACCAAAGAAAGGAAUAAAACUAUUUCAAAAGGCCAUAAAGCCUGCUAAGAUGAAUGUGAGGGGCCCAGUAGAAUCAUUUUCCAGUUCAAUGUAGGUUUAUUAAAACUAUUUGGAGCAAGUAAAGCAGUUCAAGAGAGAGUGAUCCAGCAAAGUGUGGUGGGGCCUGAGAGUGGAAGCGUUUUUGUCUCAUCACUGAUCUCUAGCACCUUUCUUUUCUGGUCUCAUAUCUUGAUUUGUCUAAUUUGUAUAUUUAGACUGGGAACUCCAUAGCUGAAACUAUUCUGUCCUACAUAAGCAACAUGUGUAUUCAGUUUCGGGGGUAAUAAGAACAGGACUAUUUCUAUGGAAUACGUAUGUACAAGGGGAGACCUACUGAUUUUGAAAGCUUCUGGUGAAAAAUGCUUGUGUGAGCACAAAAGUUCAAAGCGAGGCUAUUAUUAUUCCAUUUCCAUAUGAAUGAUCUAAACAAUUUGUGUCUGGGUUUAAUAUGCAGCUACUAAAACCAGAGUUCGUAUUAUGGCCAGAUGGAAUAGGCAAAGGAUGUGAUAGCCACUGUGAAAUCUGGCUGCUUCUUGGUGAACCUCACUGGGUUAGGUCUCUCCUUCCACUUCUGAGCUACUUCUAUAGGAGGCUGAGGAAGAUGUGGUGGGGGCUUCCCCUGUGCCCAUCUGCAUAGUCAGUGCCAGUAACAAUGCUGUUACACAUUCUUGUCUCAGGUACCCAGAUACACUUGUAGCUUCAAUUUGAACUAAAAAGAGGUGAACGAUAAGCCAACAUUCCUCCUCACCUGUCCUGCAGAAAAGCCCUGGGAUACAGCUUAGCCUGAAGCUUUCACUAGCACAACCCAAAACCUCCUGAGUAGAGUUCGAAGAACAAAAGCCUCCUUGUGCACAGCUGAUACUCUUCCACCUGUCCUGCCCCAUGGAGCCAGAACAAGGCAAUAGAAGUCUCAAGAAAGACUUUCUUACCAUCAGCUGUUCAAAACAUCUGUAACCUAGCAGUGUACUUUCUUUAUUAUUGUUCUUUAUUUCAGAAAGUGCAUUUUUUUCACAUUUUUCAUACUGCUGUCCAUACAAUAAUUUGGAAACUAGAGCAGGUAGAACAGCUUUUUAAACAAAACCUCUCAUUUUGUCAAGAAUGCAGCUUUAUACAAAUAAAGUAGAUUAAGA
rnacentral:lncRNA from 1 species